AUUGAACGCUGGCGGCGUGCUUAACACAUGCAAGUCGAACCAGUGGCGGACGGGUGAGUAAUGCUUGGGAAUCUAGCUUAUGGAGGGGAUUAACUACGGGAAACUGUAGCUAAUACCGCUUACCGUAGGAGGAGCGCAAGGGGGAUUAGUUGGUUGGUGAUGUAAAGGUGCACCAAGCCGACGAUCUCUAGCUGGUCUGAGAGGAUGACCAGCCCCACUGGGCCUGAGACACGGCAGAGACUCCUCCGGGAGGCAGGAGUGGGGAAUAUGGCGCAAAGGGGGCAACCUGCCGCACCCAUGCCGCGUGAAUGAAGAAGGCCUUCGGGUUUUAAAGUUCUUUAGGCAGCUAGGCGUUAACUACAGAAGAAGCACCGGCUAACUCCGUGCCAGCAGCCGCGGUAAUAC
rnacentral:rRNA from 1 species